rnacentral:rRNA from 1 species
UGUGCGAAGGUAGCAUAAUCAGUAGUCUUUUAAUUGGAGGCUGGAAUGAAGGGUCGGACAAGGGGGAAGCUGUCUUUUUUACAAUUUUUGAAUUUUACUUUUAAGUGAAAAGGCUUAAAUGGGUUGGGGGGACGAUAAGACCCUAUAAAAUUUUACAAAAUUAGGAUUUUUUUUUAAAUUAAGGUUUAAAUUCUAUAAGUUCUUGUUUGUUGUGUUGGGGCGGCAAAGAUAAAAAUUAGUAACUGUCAUUUAAUUAGAAUAAGUAUAAUUAGUUUAGUUGAUCCUUUAUUAGAGAUUAAAAGAUUAAGUUACUUUAGGGAUAACAGCGUAAUUUUCCCUGAGAGUUCUUAUCGACGGGAGUAGUUGCGACCCCGAA